rnacentral:misc_RNA from 1 species
UUUCCGUAGGUGAACCUGCGGAAGGAUCAUUAUUGUAUAACCGAGGUGCGAGGGCUGUCGCUGACCCGAAAGUUCGUGCACGCCCGAGUGCCCUCACACACAUCCACCUCACCCCUAUGUGCACCACCGCGUGGGUCCCCCUUUGGCUUGUUCGGAGGGGGGCUUACGUUUUCACACAAACUUUGUAUGCAGUGUAGAAUGUAUUUUUUGUUUUUGCGAUCACGCAAUCAAUACAACUUUCAACAACGGAUCUCUUGGCUCUC